rnacentral:rRNA from 1 species
CGCCUUCUUGGUGUGUACUUGUUUGACGGAGCCUUACCUCCUGGUGAACGGCAAUGUCCUUUACUGGGUGUCGUCGCAAACCAGGACUUUUACUUUGAAAAAAUUAGAGUGUUCAAAGCAGGCCUUUGCCCGAAUACAUUAGCAUGGAAUAAUAAAAUAGGACGCGCGUUCCCAUUUUGUUGGUUUCUGAGAUCGCCGUAAUGAUUAAUAGGGAUAGUUGGGGGCAUUUGUAUUCCGUCGUCAGAGGUGAAAUUCUUGGAUUGCCGGAAGACAAACUACUGCGAAAGCAUUUGCCAAGGAUGUUUUCAUUGAUCAAGAACGAAGGAAGGGGGAUCGAAAACGAUUAGAUACCGUUGUAGUCUCUUCUGUAAACUAUGCCAAUUGGGGAUCGGUACAGGAUUUUUAAUGACUGUAUCGGCACCCGAAGAGAAAUCUUUAAAUGAGGUUCGGGGGGGAGUAUGGUCGCAAGGCUGAAACUUAAAGGAAUUGACG